GGCAUUAGCCGGACUGGUUCGCAUAGCACCAAGGAUAGUCCUUAGUGACUUAUUUUGUAUAACAUUGAAUACUUUAAAGGCAUCUUCUGUACCUGGUGUUAAAAGAAAAGAACCAUAAUCAACAACGCUUCUUAUAACUGCAUUAUAAAUAAGCUUCAAGUAGAAAGGAUGGCUGCCCCACCAUACACCAGCCAAGCAUCUCAAUAUGUUUAAUGAGCGUUCACAUCUACCUUUAACAUAAUUACAAUGACCCUUGGCUGACAAAUUGUAGUCCAAAACCAUUCCUAAAUACUUGACUUCUUGACGAAAGGAAAUUGUAGAUCCACCAUAUGAUAAACUUUCAUCAACCGUUUUUUUCCUUGGAGAAAAUAUAAUUGCUGCGGUUUUCGGAACUGAGAGGUCUAACCCAUUAUUAUUUAAAUAUACAUUUAGUUCCUUCAAACUAGCAUUUAUAAGUUCGCAGGCCUUUUGUACGGAUCCAUUUCUAGAAUAGAGCACUAUGUCAUCGGCAUAUUGUAAAAUUGAUAUAUAAUCUGGCAAAUUAGAACUAAGGUCGUAAGUAUAUACAUUAAAAAGCAAGGGGCUUAGAACAGAACCCUGUGGUAGUCCUUUCCAAACUGUUCUGUGAAAUACUUUAUCACCUAAAUCUAACCUAAUCGUCCGUUCAUAAAACAUAGCAGCAAUAAUAUUACACAAGCGUUCAGGAACUCCCAAGAGGAACAACUUAUUUACAAGAAUUGGUAUAUUUACAUUAUCAUAGGCCGAAUUGAUAUCUAUAAAACAAGCUACUACAUAUUCCCGUUUCGAGAAGGCUGAAAGAAUAUCAGAAACUAACAAACCCACACAGUCUAAAGUGCUUCGGCUUUUGCGAAAACCAUAUUGAAUAUCGGGUAAUAAUUUCUUACUCUCAAUAAACCACUCCAACCUAUUUUUAACUAAAUGUUCUAAAAUCUUAAUUAAAACAGAAGAUAACGCAAUUGGACGAUAAGAAUUUGAAUCAUUACGGGGUUUAUUCGGUUUGAGAAAUGGUAACACCAACUGUAUUUUCCAAUUUGGUGGAAUGUCACCUGUCAUAAAAAUCCCGUUGAUAAUAUUAAGAAAGUAACCUAUAACCUUUUCACUAGAAUGUUUCAAAAAUGAAUAUGGAAUACCAUCGCAUCCUGGUGCAGAAUCAAUAACAUAUGAUAAAACGUUCUUUAGCUCCAGUAACGAAAAUGGACUAUUAAAACGCUGCACGUUAUCAUUAUUGGACGGGGAAGCCGAUUCAGGACACACAGGGAAUGGGACAAAUGGGGGAGCUAAUUUAUCUAAAAAUUUCUCAGCUACUGGAGGCUCAAGAUUGAUGGCGUUAUUUUCUACAAAAGCUCCUCUAAACAUUCUAACUUUUCUCCAAACUUCUGACGGCUUCUGAACAUUCAGAAUCCCACCAUGGAGGACUGGGAAUAUUAAAUUUAGAGGACUUCUUACGUGGAAAUACUUCAUCAGCUAUAUCAAUUAAAAACUUAGCAAAAGCAUCAGAAGUUUUAAACAAAUGUUCCCGAGAUACAUCAGGUAAUUCACUCAACCUCUCAUCCAUAUGUUUGCGAAACUUAUCCCAAUCUGCAUUUUGAAGUUUAUAUGCUAACAGUGGAGAUCUUUUAAGUACUGGUUUAUUUUUAAUAGGAAAAGAAAUAAGAAUUGGAAAAUGAUCACUGCCGUAGGAAAGUGGAAGUACCUCCCACAGUAAGGAAUGUGAAAUGGAAGAACUACAAAUUGAUAAAUCUAAUGCACUAGGAUUCUCAUUGGGAGCAGACCGACGUGUGGGAACACCAGAAUUCAAUAUACAUAAAUUAUAAUAAUCAA